UGUCCUACCACUGUGCCACUGACUUGCUGUGUGACCCUGGGCAAGUCAUUUAACUAUAAUGUGCCUCAGUUUUCCUUCUGUUAAAAUGGGAUAAUAAUACUGACCUACCUCAAAGGGCAGUUUUGAGGCGUGACUAAUGCUUUUUAUAAAGCAUCUUGGAAUUCUCUUAAGUCCUGAGUAUUUUUAUAGUAGCAGUAUCCACUGUAAAGUGUGUCCACCAUGAACCACGUGUCCUGGAUGCAAUCAGGAAUCUAUAUGGUUCUCUCUGAGAGACUGAAUAAAUGCAUCAGCUAAGGGGUGGAUAACUAGCCAGACAAAAUCUGAGAAUGCAUAAACUCAUUGCCAUGGAAA
rnacentral:lncRNA from 1 species